rnacentral:rRNA from 1 species
GGCGAACGCUGGCGGCGUGCCUAAUACAUGCAAGUCGAGCGCAGGAAACUGACGGAACUCUUCGGAGGGAAGGCAGCGGAAUGAGCGGCGGACGGGUGAGUAACACGUAAGGAACCUGCCUCAAGGAUUGGGAUAACUCCGAGAAAUCGGAGCUAAUACCGGAUAGUUCAUCGGACCGCAUGGUCCGAUGAUGGAAGGCGCUCCGGCGUCACCUUGAGAUGGCCUUGCGGUGCAUUAGCUAGUUGGUGGGGUAACGGCGCACCAAGGCGACGAUGCAUAGCAGACCUGAUAGGGUGAUCGACCACACCGGGGCGGAGACACGGCCCAGAGUCCUACGGGAGGCAGCAGUAGGGGAUCUUCCACAAUGGACGAAAGUCUGAUGGAGCAACGCCGCGUGAGUGAUGAAGGUUUUCGGAUCGUAAAACUCUGUUGUAAGGGAAGAACACGUACGAGAGGAAAUGCUCGUACCUUGACGGUACCUUACGAGAAAGCCACGGCUAACUACGUGCCAGCAGCCGCAGUAAUAC